AUAGCCAUAAACACUACCAAGUAUGAAACAAACUUAGUCGCCAGAGAACUACAAGCAAUGGCUUAAAACUCAAAGGACUUGGCGGUGCUUUAUAUCCGUCUAGAGGAGCCUGUUCUGUAACCGAUAAACCCCGAUCUACCUUACCAUCUCUUGCUAAAUCAGUCUAUAUACCGCCAUCCUCAGCAAACCCUGAAAGGGAAUAAAAGUAAGCUCGAUUAUAUAAUGUAAAAAAGUUAGGUCAAGGUGUAACCUAUGAGAUGGGACGCAAUGGGCUACAUUUUCUUAUCAAGAACAUAACGAAACCUUAUUUGAAACAAUAAGACAAAGGAGGAUUUAGUAGUAAACUAAAAUUAGAGUGUUUAGUUGAAUAGAGCAAUGAAGCACGCA
rnacentral:rRNA from 1 species